UACGUAGGCAGCGAGCGUUGUUCGGAAUUACUGGGCGUAAAGAGUGUGUAGGCGGUGCUCUAAGUUCGGUGUGAAAUCUCCUGGCUUAACUGGGAGGGUGCGCCGGAAACUGGAGUGCUCGAACGUGGGAGAGGAAAGCGGGAAUUCCUGGAUGUAGCGGUGAAAUGCGUAGAUAUCAGGAGGAACACCUGCGGUGUAGACGGCUUUCUGGACCAUUGUUGACGCUGAGACAUGAAAGCGUGGGUAGCAAACAGG
rnacentral:rRNA from 1 species